CAGCCGCCGCGGGAAUACGUAGGUGGCAAGCGUUGUCCGGAAUUAUUGGGCGUAAAGGGCUCGCAGGCGGUUUCUUGAGUCUGAUGUGAAAGCCCCCGGCUCAACCGGGGAGGGUCAUUGGAAACUGGGAAACCUGAGUGCAGAAGAGGAGAGUGGAAUUCCACGUGUAGCGGUGAAAUGCGUAGAGAUGUGGAGGAACACCAGUGGCGAAGGCGACUCUCUGGUCUGUAACUGACGCUGAGGAGCGAAAGCGUGGGGAGCGAACAGGAUUAGAUACCCCUGUAGUCCCUGUCUCUUAUAC
rnacentral:rRNA from 1 species